rnacentral:rRNA from 1 species
UACGGGGGGAGCAAGCGUUGUUCGGAUUUACUGGGCGUAAAGGGCGCGUAGGCGGUAGCACAAGUCAGUUGUGAAAUCUCCGGGCUUAACUCGGAAAGGUCAACUGAUACUGUGCGACUAGAGUGCAGAAGGGGCAACUGGAAUUCCCGGUGUAGCGGUGAAAUGCGUAGAUAUCGAGAGGAACACCUGCGGCGAAGGCGGGUUGCUGGGCUGACACUGACGCUGAGGCACGAAGGUCAGGGGAGCAAACGGG